UGCCCAGUCGUGGGGGAUAACGCAGCGAAAGCUGUGCUAAUACCGCAUACGAUCUAUGGAUGAAAGCGGGGGACUCAGCAAUGAGCCUCGCGCGAUUGGAGCGGCCGAUAUCAGAUUAGCUAGUUGGUGGGGUAAAAGCUCACCAAGGCGACGAUCUGUAGCUGGUCUGAGAGGACGACCAGCCACACUGGAACUGAGACACGGUCCAGACUCCUACGGGAGGCAGCAGUGGGGAAUUUUGGACAAUGGGCGCAAGCCUGAUCCAGCAAUGCCGCGUGCAGGAUGAAGGCCUUCGGGUUGUAAACUGCUUUUGUACGGAACGAAACGGUCUUCUCUAAUAAAGGAGGCUAAUGACGGUACCGUAAGAAUA
rnacentral:rRNA from 1 species